AGUGAGAAAUGACGCACGUCUAGCCUUGUGCUAGAAAUGGCUCUUCUUAGAUAUUUCUUAUGAGUUGUCCAGCCUCAUUCCCACAGCAGCUAUGUAAAACUGCCCAUACCUGCCCCUAAACUGAGGAUAUUAUUGUCUACUCCUUAGUCACACACGACCCCAGAUCCUACUUUACAGGAAGGUGUGGGCAUUCGACUUCAACUGUGCCUGGGCCUUCAGCAGUGCCUGCAGCAGUGCCUGCCUUCCCACCCUUCCUCCCCGCUCCGCUCUGCUUCUGGGGAACCCAGCCCUCCCUGUGCUCAAGGCUGCUCUUGUGCUCCCCUCCCCGAGUACCUGCUUUGCCUACCUGCUUUGCCGAUGCCCUUUCCUUGCUCUUCCGGCUCCGCCCCUUCUCACUGGUCUGCCGGUCGAGGCACGUGACGCUCCUGUCCAGCCCAGGUCUGGUACUCGCUCUGCAGUCCUUCAUAGAGAGGAAAGGCAAGAUGGCAGGAGGCCAGGGAAAGAGGGAGAACAGAAGCCAAGAGGCGUGGACUCACAUCCUGCUCUUUUGUGGUCACCCAAUACCAUUUGAUUGUUUUCCUCUUCCAUAAAAUCCCUAAGCUGCGGUCACGACUGCCUGCCAUCCAUACCUCCUGGGGUCACUGUGACAGUUAAAUAAAUUAACGUGAGUUGGAGCAGUUCUUCUUAGGUUAGCUAUGGGAAGGACUGGUUUGUUUCUUUUCUUUUUUAAAAAAAUUAAUGAGAUCUCACAGUGCUUUAGAUUUCCUUGAGUUUUGCCUAAGGCCCUGUGUCUUUCCAACUCCCUUCCAGUUACGUGGCGGUCGGUCCCCACAUCCCCUUGGCUCCUCUGGGCUGUGGCGUUCCCAGGUGUGUCUGUCUGUGUCUGACGCCUUGGCAGGUUGGGGCAGCACUGGCCUGGUGUUCUGUAGAGCUACCCACUGCUGGAGUCUGAUGUUUUCCUCAUGGGGAGACUGAACCUCCGGUGGCUGGGAGGAGGACAGACAGGCAAACUGCAACUGUCACCACCCAGCAGGGGCAGAAACUGUCAGGAGACGGUUUGUGUGGACCUUGGCUAACCGCUGGAGGGUGAUGCAUUUCUUUUUAUUUCCGUGUCGUAGCUGGCCUUACUGUACAUCACAGGCACAGAUCUACAAGGCAAAUCCUCGACCAAGCGAGGUCACCAGUCACGGCACGCGUGGGGACUGUGGCCAUGUCACGGUGCCGUAGGCGUCUGUGUUUCCUCUCAGCUCACCUGCUUAUCCCACAUUGCUGCCUGGCAGACCUGCCUGGAGCUGUGUCAUACGCUGGGUGGCAUUGUGCUAACACCUACAACACGGGGGCGCUCAAUGAAUCAUUCUAAAGCACACCGAGGGAUUCAGACACAAAAGGCAGAUGUGAGCUGGAAUCCUGAAGUCACUAUGGGCAGAAGAGGAAGGGGCCCCAGGGAGAAUCUUCCCACUCCCUUCUCCUACUGACACAGAAGUGGAGUCCUAGGGGACGGGAGGCUGUGCGGCCCUGGGAAUGUGGUGGCCACCUGCUCCCGGCCAGGUCCUUGCUCCUCACUGGUGUGCUUCCCACCAUCCGACUCUAAGAAGAACCUCUGCGGGCCCUAGAGGAAGAGCAGGACGGACAUCAAAGGGCUGAGAUCUACCGGCGAGCCCAAUUUCUCGCUGACCUUCUAACUUCCCACCACUUCAUCAAAACUUAAAUGAACAGCUGAAGACAUGAAGACGCUGGAGGAGAAGCAGAACUGACCACUUGGAUAUAACUGAUAUUUCAAUCAUCGGGGCCAGUUUACACUUUGGAGAUAGCUACGUCAGUCUCUCGGUCCUGUCACAGUCAGAGGCAAAGAAGCUCAAAGCUGAGGAUGGAAAGCCCCUUAGUAGGUGAUGGAACCAGAGAGAGAGGAUGAAGUUCUAGAGAAAUAAGAAUUCAGGCCUGAGAGAUUUGCUCAUUGUCUUCUUUUCCAUGGAUUUGGGAUUGGAUUAGACGAUAUUUAGUAGACUCCCGGUGGGAAAAUUCCCUUAUGAUGCCAGAAAGGGCUCUUGGAAAAUGGGGAACAGGAGUCUUGGGUAGACCAUCCCUGGCUGUUCCUGUCACGAGCUGUGGAAGCCCCAGCCCUCAUAGAGAUAUGCUACAGAAUUUGGCAAUCCAGAGAGCCAGAUUGUGACGUGAAUAUUAUUCCAUGGAAUUCACAGAGUGGAGUGUUCUGACACAGUGACAGAGAUCUAGCUGCUUUCUCUGAGAAGGAACUCCACUUUACAUCAUAACCUACCUUUGACUUGCAUGGGAGAGCUGGCACUAGAAGAAUGUUUGAAUGAAAACUGCAGCGCAAACUGCAGAAACAUUCUGAAAAGUGUGCUUGGCUUCUAACAACAAGUUCUUCUUAGGACAAAGUUGAGGACUUUCCAGGACCUAACUUUCAACAGAACUACAUGGCAAUAUCUUGACCAAAGUGCUAUUCACAGUACAGACCUCAUAGAGAUGUGCUACAGAAAUUGGCCAUGAAGGUUUAUUGAUUUUAUUUAUUCUUUCGAAAAACCAACUCUUCGCUUCAUUGAUUUUUUUGUAUUGUUCUCUUAGUCUCCAUGGCAUUGAUUUCUGCUCAGAUCUUUAUAAUUUCCUCUCUUGUACAAGCUUUGGGUUUGUUAUGGUCUUCUUUUUCUAGGAGCUUGAGGUUCACCAUUAAAGUUGUUUAUUUGAGAACUCUGUGUUUUCCGAAUAUGGGCAUUCACUGCUAUGAAUUUCCCUCGUAGAACUGCUUUCAUUGUGUCCCACGGAUUCCUGUAUGUUGUACUGGCAUUAUCAUUUACUUGUAGAAACUAUCUAAUUUCUUCUGUGACCCAUUGGUUGUUCAGGAGGGUGUUAUUCAGUUUCCAUGUGUUUGUGGGGGUUUUGCAGUUUCUUAUGUUAUUGAUCUCCAAUUGUAUUGCACUAUGGUCUGAUAAUAUACAGGGGGU
rnacentral:lncRNA from 1 species